rnacentral:rRNA from 1 species
UAGGGAAUCUUCGGCAAUGGGGGGAACCCUGACCGAGCAACGCCGCGUGAGUGAAGAAGGUUUUCGGAUCGUAAAGCCCUUUUGUUAAGGAAGAACGGGUGUGAGAAUGGAAGUUUCAUGCUGUGACGGUAUUUACCCAGAAAGGGACGCCUAACUACUUCCCAGCAGCCGCGGUAAUACGUAGGUCCCGAGCGUUGUCCGGAUUUAUUGGGCGUAAAGCGAGCGCAGGCGGUUAGAAAAGUCUGAAGUGAAAGCCCCCGGCUCAACCGGGGAGGGUCAUUGGAAACUGGUUGACUUGAGUGCAGAAGAGGAGAGUGGAAUUCCAUGUGUAGCGGUGAAAUGCGUAGAUAUAUGGAGGAACACCAGUGGCGAAGGCGACUCUCUGGUCUGUAACUGACGCUGAGGCUCGAAAGCGUGGGUAGCAAACAGG